UGAUACCCUGGUAGUCCACGCUGUAAACGAUGUCGACUUGGAGGUUGUUCCCUUGAGGAGUGGCUUCCGGAGCUAACGCGUUAAGUCGACCGCCUGGGGAGUACGGCCGCAAGGUUAAAACUCAAAUGAAUUGACGGGGGCCCGCACAAGCGGUGGAGCAUGUGGUUUAAUUCGAUGCAACGCGAAGAACCUUACCUACUCUUGACAUCCAGAGAACUUAGCAGAGAUGCUUUGGUGCCUUCGGGAACUCUGAGACAGGUGCUGCAUGGCUGUCGUCAGCUCGUGUUGUGAAAUGUUGGGUUAAGUCCCGCAACGAGCGCAACCCUUAUCCUUUGUUGCCAGCGGUUCGGCCGGGAACUCAAAGGAGACUGCCAGUGAUAAACUGGAGGAAGGUGGGGAUGACGUCAAGUCAUCAUGGCCCUUACGAGUAGGGCUACACACGUGCUACAAUGGCAUAUACAAAGAGAAGCGACCUCGCGAGAGCAAGCGGACCUCAUAAAGUAUGUCGUAGUCCGGAUUGGAGUCUGCAACUCGACUCCAUGAAGUCGGAAUCGCUAGUAAUCGUGGAUCAGAAUGCCACGGUGAAUACGUUCCCGGGCCUUGUACACACCGCCCGUCACACCAUGGGAGUGGGUUGCAAAAGAAGUAGGUAGCUUAAC
rnacentral:rRNA from 1 species